GCCCGGUCUUAGUGUUUUGCUCAAAUCCGUUAUUAUUGUUGUUAUUAUUAUUAUUAUAUUAAUGAAGAGGUGUAUAAUUAUCGUAAUAAUUGUUGCAUCGUUCUUUGUCCAUGGGAAGUGAUCCGAACCAGAACAAGCUGAACAAAAAAAUAAUAGGCCACAAAUAUAAACGGACAGUUUGUUAAACCGUAUAUAUUAUAAUUUUCAGCUCAUCGGAGUGAGAUGAUUAGAUGAAGAUGGAUGAAGAUAGCUGUUUCUUCGGCGAUGGCGGCACUCUAGCUACGUUUCACCGGA